rnacentral:rRNA from 1 species
GUGAGGAAUAUUGGUCAAUGGGCGGGAGCCUGAACCAGCCAAGUCGCGUGAAGGAAGAAGGAUCUAUGGUUCGUAAACUUCUUUUGCAGGGGAAUAAAGUGCAGGACGUGUCCUGUUUUGUAUGUACCCUGAGAAUAAGGAUCGGCUAACUCCGUGCCAGCAGCCGCGGUAAUACGGAGGAUCUGAGCGUUAUCCGGAUUUAUUGGGUUUAAAGGGUGCGUAGGUGGUUUGAUAAGUCAGCGGUGAAAGUUUGCAGCUUAACUGUAAAAAUGCCGUUGAAACUGUCGGACUUGAGUGUAAAUGAGGUAGGCGGAAUGCGUGGUGUAGCGGUGAAAUGCAUAGAUAUCACGCAGAACUCCGAUUGCGAAGGCAGCUUACUAAGCUACAACUGACACUGAAGCACGAAAGCGUGGGGAUCAAACAGGAUUAGAAACCCGGGUAGUCC